rnacentral:rRNA from 1 species
AUUGCCCUAGUAACGGCGAGUGAAGCGGCAACAGCUCAAAUUUGAAAUCUGGCGUCUUUGGCGUCCGAGUUGUAAUUUGCAGAGGGCGCUUUGGCAUUGGCAGCGGUCCAAGUUCCUUGGAACAGGACGUCACAGAGGGUGAGAAUCCCGUACGUGGUCGCUAGCCUUUACCGUGUAAAGCCCCUUCGACGAGUCGAGUUGUUUGGGAAUGCAGCUCUAAAUGGGAGGUAAAUUUCUUCUAAAGCUAAAUACUGGCCAGAGACCGAUAGCGCACAAGUAGAGUGAUCGAAAGAUGAAAAGCACUUUGGAAAGAGAGUUAAAAAGCACGUGAAAUUGUUGAAAGGGAAGCGCUUGCAGCCAGACUUGCCUGUAGUUGCUCAUCCGGGUUUUUACCCGGUGCACUCUUCUACGGGCAGGCCAGCAUCAGUUUGGGCGGUUGGAUAAAGGUCUCUGUCAUGUACCUCCUCUCGGGGAGAUCUUAUAGGGGAGACGACAUGCAACCAGCCUGGACUGAGGUCCGCGCAUCUGCUAGGAUGCUGGCGUAAUGGCUGUAAGCGGCCCGUCUUGAAACACGGACCAAGGAGUCUAACAUCUAUGCGAGUGUUUGGGUGUCAAGCCCGAACGCGUAAUGAAAGUGAACGGAGGUGGGAACCUUUCGGGGUGCACCAUCGACCGAUCCUGAUGUCUUCGGAUGGAUUUGAGUAAGAGCAUAGCUGUUGGGACCCGAAAGAUGGUGAACUAUGCUUGAAUAGGGUGAAGCCAGAGGAAACUCUGGUGGAGGCUCGCAGCGGUUCUGACGUGCAAAUCGAUCGUCAAAUUUGGGCAUAGGGGCGAAAGACUAAUCGAACUAUCUAGUAGCUGGUUCCUGCCGAAGUU